CAGCCGCCGCGGGAAUACGAAGGGUGCAAGCGUUAAUCGGAAUUACUGGGCGUAAAGCGUGCGUAGGCGGUUUGUUAAGUCUGUUGUGAAAUCCCCGGGCUCAACCUGGGAAUGGCAAUGGAUACUGGCAAGCUAGAGUGUGUCAGAGGAUGGUGGAAUUCCCGGUGUAGCGGUGAAAUGCGUAGAGAUCGGGAGGAACAUCAGUGGCGAAGGCGGCCAUCUGGGACAACACUGACGCUGAGGCACGAAAGCGUGGGGAGCAAACAGGAUUAGAUACCCCAGUAGUCCCUGUCUCUUAUAA
rnacentral:rRNA from 1 species